CGUUGCAGCCACACCCUGUCCUCUACUGCGGAUCUCUGUCGCUAAACGUCGCAUGAAUGUAAAUUUGGGACGGAGAGACCAACCAGGAAAUGUCUUCUUCCUCUCUGCCUGCGUCUCUGUUCCUGCUGUCUGUGGUUUUCUGGCAGUUUGUCGCUGCUGCAGGUCAGAACAUCAUAACAAUCAAAGCUGAACCUGGAGAUGACCGCAUUCUGCCAUGUAAAGCUCCUGAGCAGGAACAGAUUGUAGCCAUAGAGUGGGGCAGAACUGAUCUGGGGCCAGAAGCCGUCCUCCUGUACAGAGAUCAUCAGUUUGAUCCAACAAACCAGCAUCAGUCUUACAAGGACCGCGUUGAUCUGCUGGUUAGUCAGGUGCAGAAAAGAGACGCGUCUUUGAUUCUGCAGAAUGCAAGGACUAAUGACAGCGGGACAUAUGAGUGUCGAGUCAAACAAGCAAAUCAUGAGAAGAAACUGAUCAGCACCGUCAGCCUGGUUGUAGCUCGUCCUGCAGGUGAGUGUUUGUCUCUGGAUCAGAACGCUCUGUGGUGUCAUCCAGGGAGGGAUUUUUCUUUGUGUUUCAAUGGGUCAUUUAAUACAAUUUCUGACAUAAAAUGUAUGCAUGGGCAGCCAUGCCAUACACAGAGAGUCUCUUUUUGCAAUUCUCUGCAAAUCAAAAGAGGCUAUCU